UAACACUAACUGGAGGACCGAACCGACUAAUGUUGAAAAAUUAGCGGAUGACCUGUGGCUGGGGGUGAAAGGCCAAUCAAACCGGGAGAUAGCUGGUUCUCCCCGAAAGCUAUUUAGGUAGCGCCUCGUGAAUUCAUCUCCGGGGGUAGAGCACUGUUUCGGCUAGGGGGCCAUCCCGGCUUACCAACCCGAUGCAAACUGCGAAUACCGGAGAAUGUUAUCACGGGAGACACACGGCGGGUGCUAACGUCCGUCGUGAAGAGGGAAACAACCCAGACCGCCAGCUAAGGUCCCAAAGUCAUGGUUAAGUGGGAAACGAUGUGGGAAGGCCCAGACAGCCAGGAUGUUGGCUUAGAAGCAGCCAUCAUUUAAAGAAAGCGUAAUAGCUCACUGGUCGAGUCGGCCUGCGCGGAAGAUGUAACGGGGCUAAACCAUGCACCGAAGCUGCGGCAGCGAACGUAUCACCCAAGACAACUUUACGGAGUUGACGAUUGACGGAGCGAAGCGACGUCAAAGCGUUCAUUAAAGUCGAGUUGGCUUAGGGAUACGUUCGUUGGGUAGGGGAGCGUUCUGUAAGCCUGUGAAGGUGUGUCGUGAGGCAUGCUGGAGGUAUCAGAAGUGCGAAUGCUGACAUAAGUAACGAUAAAGCGGGUGAAAAGCCCGCUCGCCGGAAGACCAAGGGUUCCUGUCCAACGUUAAUCGGGGCAGGGUGAGUCGACCCCUAAGGCGAGGCCGAAAGGCGUAGUCGAUGGGAAACGGGUUAAUAUUCCCGUACUUGGUGUUACUGCGAAGGGGGGACGGAGAAGGCUAUGUUGGCCGGGCGACGGUUGUCCCGGUUUAAGCGUGUAGGUGUGUGUUCCAGGUAAAUCCGGUUCACUUUAACACUGAGGCGUGACGACGAGGCACUACGGUGCUGAAGCAACAAAUGCCCUGCUUCCAGGAAAAGCCUCUAAGCAUCAGGUAACACGAAAUCGUACCCCAAACCGACACAGGUGGUCAGGUAGAGAAUACCAAGGCGCUUGAGAGAACUCGGGUGAAGGAACUAGGCAAAAUGGUGCCGUAACUUCGGGAGAAGGCACGCUGACACGUAGGUGAAGUGAUUUACUCAUGGAGCUGAAGUCAGUCGAAGAUACCAGCUGGCUGCAACUGUUUAUUAAAAACACAGCACUGUGCAAACACGAAAGUGGACGUAUACGGUGUGACGCCUGCCCGGUGCCGGAAGGUUAAUUGAUGGGGUCAGCGUAAGCGAAGCUCCUGAUCGAAGCCCCGGUAAACGGCGGCCGUAACUAUAACGGUCCUAAGGUAGCGAAAUUCCUUGUCGGGUAAGUUCCGACCUGCACGAAUGGCGUAAUGAUGGCCAGGCUGUCUCCACCCGAGACUCAGUGAAAUUGAACUCGCUGUGAAGAUGCAGUGUACCCGCGGCAAGACGGAAAGACCCCGUGAACCUUUACUAUAGCUUGACACUGAACAUUGAGCCUUGAUGUGUAGGAUAGGUGGGAGGCUUUGAAGUGUGGACGCCAGUCUGCAUGGAGCCGACCUUGAAAUACCACCCUUUAAUGUUUGAUGUUCUAACGUGGACCCGUAAUCCGGGUUGCGGACAGUGUCUGGUGGGUAGUUUGACUGGGGCGGUCUCCUCCUAAAGAGUAACGGAGGAGCACGAAGGUUGGCUAAUCCUGGUCGGACAUCAGGAGGUUAGUGCAAUGGCAUAAGCCAGCUUGACUGCGAGCGUGACGGCGCGAGCAGGUGCGAAAGCAGGUCAUAGUGAUCCGGUGGUUCUGAAUGGAAGGGCCAUCGCUCAACGGAUAAAAGGUACUCCGGGGAUAACAGGCUGAUACCGCCCAAGAGUUCAUAUCGACGGCGGUGUUUGGCACCUCGAUGUCGGCUCAUCACAUCCUGGGGCUGAAGUAGGUCCCAAGGGUAUGGCUGUUCGCCAUUUAAAGUGGUACGCGAGCUGGGUUUAGAACGUCGUGAGACAGUUCGGUCCCUAUCUGCCGUGGGCGCUGGAGAACUGAGGGGGGCUGCUCCUAGUACGAGAGGACCGGAGUGGACGCAUCACUGGUGUUCGGGUUGUCAUGCCAAUGGCACUGCCCGGUAGCUAAAUGCGGAAGAGAUAAGUGCUGAAAGCAUCUAAGCACGAAACUUGCCCCGA
rnacentral:rRNA from 1 species